rnacentral:rRNA from 1 species
UACAGAGGUCUCAAGCGUUGUUCGGAUUCAUUGGGCGUAAAGGGUGUGUAGGUGGCGCCGUAAGUCGGGUGUGAAAUCUCGGGGCUUAACUCCGAAACUGCAUUCGAUACUGCGGUGCUUGAGGACUGGAGAGGAGACUGGAAUUCAUGGUGUAGCAGUGAAAUGCGUAGAGAUCAUGAGGAAGACCAGUGGCGAAGGCGGGUCUCUGGA